rnacentral:rRNA from 1 species
UGUCUACCGUACCUGACCGACGUCGCAUUCAUUACCGAGUUUACAACUCCCAAACCCCUGUGAACAUACCAAUUGUUGCCUCGGCGGAUCAGCCCGCUCCCGGUAAAACGGGACGGCCCGCCAGAGGACCCCUAAACUCUGUUUCUAUAUGUAACUUCUGAGUAAAACCAUAAAUAAAUCAAAACUUUCAACAACGGAUCUCUUGGUUCUGGCAUCGAUGAAGAACGCAGCAAAAUGCGAUAAGUAAUGUGAAUUGCAGAAUUCAGUGAAUCAUCGAAUCUUUGAACGCACAUUGCGCCCGCCAGUAUUCUGGCGGGCAUGCCUGUUCGAGCGUCAUUUCAACCCUCAAGCCCUCGGGUUUGGUGUUGGGGAUCGGCGAGCCCUUGCGGCAAGCCGGCCCCGAAAUCUAGUGGCGGUCUCGCUGCAGCUUCCAUUGCGUAGUAGUAAAACCCUCGCAACUGGUACGCGGCGCGGCCAAGCCGUUAAACCCCCAACUUCUGAAUGUUGACCUCGGAUCAGGUAGGAAUACCCGCUGAACUUAAGCAUAUCCAAAGGGGGGAAAAAAA